GUGGGAGUGAGGUGGGACCCAACUGUUGGCCAUGGCGAUGACAUCUGGGUUGUCCCCUCUAG
rnacentral:miRNA from 1 species